UUGACCUCAAAUCAGGUAAGACUACCCGCUGAACUUAAGCAUAUCAAUAAGCGGAGGA
rnacentral:rRNA from 1 species